AAAGUCGUAACAAGGUCUCCGUAGGUGAACCUGCGGAGGGAUCAUUAACACGUAUCCACACGUUUCUUAACAAACCCAAACUGCGCUCCUUUAUUCCCGUAGAGGGUCGGUGACUAGCAAGCCACAGGUGGAUUGAGUGGUGUUUUGGGGGAGACCUCACAGCACUCUCUACUUGCAGUCUAUUGGCGCCUUGAGGCCGGCCGAUUCUCUAUGGCGUAUUUCAAGCCACUUGGUUACAUGUGCCAAACCGGUUUCGACCCGGAGCCUUGUAGCCUUAUUAUUCCUCUUUUUUUAAACCCCUUUUUUAUAUCAACAACUGAUGUUUACUUUCUGCGUGUGUACCCUUUGGGUGCAUAUCAAAGAAAUAUACGAAAAUAUGAACAACUCUUAGCAAUGGAUAUCUUGGUUCUC
rnacentral:misc_RNA from 1 species